GAUGAACGCUAGCGGCAGGCUUAAUACAUGCAAGUCGAGGGGCAGCACGGGUAGCAAUACCUGGUGGCGACCGGCGCACGGGUGCGUAACACGUAUGUAAUCUACCUAUAACUGGGGCAUAGCUCAGAGAAAUCUGGAUUAAUUCCCCAUAACAUAAUGAAGAGGCAUCUUUUUAUUAUUAAAGCUCCGGCGGUUAUAGAUGAACAUGCGGGACAUUAGCUAGUUGGUAAGGUAACGGCUUACCAAGGCAACGAUGUCUAGGGGUUCUGAGAGGAUGAUCCCCCACACUGGUACUGAGACACGGACCAGACUCCUACGGGAGGCAGCAGUAGGGAAUAUUGGGCAAUGGGCGCAAGCCUGACCCAGCCAUGCCGCGUGCAGGAUGACGGCCUUAUGGGUUGUAAAGCCCUUUCGGUAGGGACGAAAGCUCUCGACCUAACACGUCGGGAGGUUGACUUAACCUACAAAAGAAGCACCGGCUAACUCUGUGCCAGCCGCCGCUGUAAUAC
rnacentral:rRNA from 1 species